rnacentral:rRNA from 1 species
AUUGAACGCUGGCGGCAUGCCUUACACAUGCAAGUCGAACGGCAGCACGGGUGCUUGCACCUGGUGGCGAGUGGCGAACGGGUGAGUAAUACAUCGGAACAUGUCCUGUAGUGGGGGAUAGCCCGGCGAAAGCCGGAUUAAUACCCCAUACGAUCCACGUAUGACAGCGGGGGACCUUCGGCCUCUCGCUAUAGGGUUGGCCGAUGGCUGAUUAGCUAGUUGGUGGGGUAAAGGCCUACCAAGGCGACUAUCAGUAGCUGGUCUGAGAGGACGACCAGCCACACUGGGACUGAGACACGGCCCAGACUCCUACGGGAGGCAGCAGUGUGGAAUUUUGGACAAAGGGCGAAAGCCUGAUCCAGCAAUGCCGCGUGUGUGAAGAAGGCCUUCGGGUUGUAAAGCACUUUUGUCCGGAAAGAAAUCCUUGACUCUAAUACAGUCGGGGGAUGACGGUACCGGAAGAAUAAGCACCGGCUAACUACGUG